rnacentral:rRNA from 1 species
CUGCAGAUCGCAAGCGCCCUUCCGAUGGUCCUUGAGAGUUUCCCGUCCACGCAAAGAAAUCCGAUCACCACCAGCAAGGACGACAAGCUGGAGGCGACCAAGGCGGAGAUGGGCGAGGUGAGGGAGGAGAACGAGCGCCUCAAGACGCUGCUCUCCCACAUCGUCAGGGACUACCAGUCGCUCCAGACGCACUUCCAGGACGCCGUCAAGGUCAAGCACCAACCACCGGCCGCCGACAAGCUCCCUGCCGCCCCCGCGCCGGCGCCUACCGCCGACGAUCUCGUCUCUCUGUGCCUCGGCAGCGGCGGUUACGCCCGUCCCAAGGGCGCCCACCAGAGGUCGCUGUCCUCGUCGUCGUCCGGCACCGAGACCGACCCCGACGAUCAGCUGUCGCUCGGGCUGAGCAGCCGCCGCUCCACGGACGGCGACGACAGGCAGGCCGCCCGCCCGUCGGCUACGCCUCUUAUGAACCUCAGCUCCGACAGCAGCGCGGACGACGACGCCGCGCCCGGUCACCAGCUGCCGGCCGCCGCGUGCCCGCCGGCGACCAAAGCGCGCAAGAGCCCCGGCGCCGGGGUUGACGGAGCCGACGACGAGGUGCUCCAGCAGCAGGCCAAGAAGGCUAGGGUUUCCGUCCGUGUCAAAUGCGACACCCCCACGAUGAACGAUGGGUGCCAAUGGCGGAAGUACGGGCAGAAGAUCUCCAAGGGGAACCCGUGCCCGCGCGCCUACUACCGGUGCACCGUGGCGCCGUCCUGCCCGGUGCGGAAGCAGGUGCAGAGAUGCGCCGACGACAUGUCCAUCCUGAUCACGACGUACGAGGGCACGCACAGCCACCCGCUGCCGCCGGCCGCCGCGGCCAUGGCGUCCACCACCUCCGCCGCGGCGUCCAUGCUGCUCGCCGGCUCCUCCUCGUCCUCGUCCCACGGGCACCACCUCCCUUUCGCGUCCGCGGGGCUCCUGGGCCCGACCACCAUCUCCACCAUCGCGUCCUGCCCCACCGUCACGCUCGACCUCACCGCCCCGCACUCGCUCAUGCAGCAGCAGUACCAGUCUCCCUACGCGGCAGGGUACGAGUCCAAGGCGCUGCCGGCGGCGUGGAGCAGCGGCUACCUGGCGCCGUACGCCGGGGGCCUUCCGUUCUACGGCAAGAGCUCCUUGCCGGCGAUGGGGCAGCAUUUCGGCCUGGGCAUGGCGACGACGAGGGCGGAGCAGCUGUACGGCGCCGCCCAUUCGUCCUCGUACCUGCAGAGAACGUCCAGCGGCGGCGUCGUCCAUGGCGCGCCCGCGGCCGCGCCGGCGGUGACGGACACGAUCGCGAAGGCGAUCACGUCGGACCCGAGCUUCCAGUCGGUGCUGGCGGCGGCGAUCACGUCCUACAUGGGGCGCGGCGCCGGGGCGGCGGCGCACAAGUGA